UAGCUCACUGGUCGAGUCGGCCUGCGCGGAAGAUGUAACGGGGCUAAACCAUGCACCGAAGCUGCGGCAGCGACGCUUAUGCGUUGUUGGGUAGGGGAGCGUUCUGUAAGCCUGUGAAGGUGUGCUGUGAGGCAUGCUGGAGGUAUCAGAAGUGCGAAUGCUGACAUAAGUAACGAUAAAGCGGGUGAAAAGCCCGCUCGCCGGAAGACCAA
rnacentral:rRNA from 1 species